rnacentral:rRNA from 1 species
GUCAAAUCAUCAUGCCCCUUAUGUCCUGGGCUACACACGUACUACAAUGGCGAUUUAACAAUGGGAAGCCAAGGCGCGAGCCGGAGCAAAUCCCCAAAAAUCGUCCCAGUUCGGAUUGUAGGCUGAAACUCGCCUGCAUGAAGUUGGAAUUGCUAGUAAUCGCGAAUCAGCAUGUCGCGGUGAAUACGUUCCCGGGCCUU